AAAACUGAGCCGAAUUCCGGAUUGACUAUCUGAUACCGCCUGGUUCAAACAUAGAAUGGUGGCUUCGGGCUACCACUUGCAGACGGAACCGCGGAGCAUUAGCUAUACUGGUGAGGUAACGGCUCUACCAAGGCGACGACGCGUACCCGACCUGACAAGGUGAUCGGGCCACACUGGGACUGAGACACGGCCCAGACUCCUACGGGAGGCAGCAGUCGGGAAUCUUCCGCAAUGGACGAAAGUCUGACGGAGCAACGCCGGGCGAUUGAUGAAGGUUUUCGGAUCCUAAAGCUCUGAUGUUAGGGAAGAACAAGUACCGUUCGAAUAGGGCGGUACCUUGACGGCACCUAACCAGAAAGCCACGGCUAACUGCGUGCCAGCAGCCGCGGUAAUACGUAGGUGGCAAGCGUUGUCCGGAAUUAUUGGGCGUAAAGGGCUCGCAGGCGGUUUAUUAAGUCUGAUGUGAAAGCCCCCGGCUCAACCGGGGAGGGUCAUUGGAAACUGGGGAACUUGAGUGCAGAAGAGGAGAGUGGAAUUCCACGUGUAGCGGUGAAAUGCGUAGAGAUGUGGAGGAACACCAGUGGCGAAGGCGACUCUCUGGUCUGUAACUGACGCUGAUGAGCGAAUGAACCUUGGCC
rnacentral:rRNA from 1 species